CACGCCAAAUAUAGUAGAUUGUGAUUUGCAAUACUUGACUAUUUAAUAAACUUUGUAGUGUUUUUUUUUAUAACAACUAUUAUAUUAUAUAAACUAAAAAAAGAAGUACAAAAUACAUAGAGUUAUAUAAGACAAUAAACACAACUAAAAUAAAAGACAGUAAAACAAAUACAAAAAAAUAUAAAAACUUUUCUUGAGAGGUCUUCCUAAUCAAUAGAGGACCAACACUCUUAAUCUUCUUGCGAUCUUCGAGUUUAUGUCGCAUUAUAGACUCCAACUUCUUAUUUUGUUGUAUAACAUUGGCCAGAUCCCAAAUUAGAUCUAUAGAUUUUUUUUUUGAAUUAUAAUCUAUUGAUUCAUUCGAAAUAAAUAAAAAUGAGCUAAUUUUCAACGAUUAUACGAAUAUCGUCAUAGAAUAAAAAGAAUAAAUCUCCAACUCUGAACCUUUGAAUUAUAUGUGCCUAGAUCCCAAAUUCACCGAUCAAUGUACAACAAAUAUCAUAUGAAUGUAGACUCAACCCCUUUUAUGAACCAUGAUUGUAUACUUUGAACAUCACGCAAAAUCAACAUAUUCUUCACAGAGAUGAUGAGUUCGUUGUGGUUCACAAGGAUAAACAUCCAUGCUAACACACCAUAACUAAUAAAAAGAGACCGAACAUCACCGCAUGGCAUAAUCAAUAAGACCAUCUUUAACGGGAGCGCUUAAUGCUGGUGCUUAGCCUAAUAAAGAUUUAAAAAAAAAGAAAAAUAGAAUUAAUGAGAGGAAACGGUGCUUAAUGAAGCGUUAGAAGCACCGCUGCUUGUGGGACACGUGUUGUGUCUUGGAGACACCUUUCUCUCUCUCUUGACAAAAUCACUGGGCCUCUCUCUCUUCUUCUCUUCCGACGAAACCUUCAUCAAGACGAAGAUCAAAGCAACAAAGCAAUAAAUCGAUUCGAUUCAUCUCCGCAAAAGAAACAGAUUUCUGAGUUCUCAUCUCCAAUAGUGCUAACAACGAUGAGGAGGUUCCUCUCCAAACUCACUCCCAGUCAAAUGGGUUUCACGAAUUCGAACUCUUUCUUGGUAAAGCUCAGUACCAAGAAACAUCACUACUACAAUCAAUGCAGCUCAAGUUGAUCAGACAAACCUGAAAGCUCAGUAAGAUUUUGGGUGUUUUGUUUUGUUGUGGAUUGUUGUAGGAUCAGCAAGAAAAGAUUAAACUUGUUCCUUUGGAUCUUGGGAAUUACCAUGUUAUUUUCAGGUUUCGUCUUCCCAUUGCAUACCAUGGAAGGGCAUCAUCUGUUGUUCUCUGGGACUGACAUUAUUCGACCAAGGUUAGGUUAGUUUCUUUCUUUGGUUUGUUUUGAGUUUGGAUAAUCCUUCCAUUCUAAUAGAAUAAGGUCCAAGAGGUUAGAUUAUUUAGUCGUUUGAUGAUGCAGACAUUGAAUGUCUGUUUUGGUGUUUUGAAGCAUGCAUGUGAAUAGAAAGUCCUGAGGUUAUUCGAUAACAUUCAUAUGA